CACCGAUGCUUGUUGGUCUAGUCCAUCUGCCCAUGGAUCCAGCUAAGCCUAGCUUGUUGGGGCUUUGCUCAAAGGUCUGGCUCAUUGAGGCUCAACCCACUAUGCUAUUGGAUCCCUUUGAUACCUAUCUAUAAUUAAGAGUCCUAAAUAGAAAUACAAUCCUAACUAAUUAGGAAUACAUAUUAGAGUGAAAUGGACCAGAUAUAACUUCAACUCCAAAAGCUAGUACAAAAGGUAGAGGUUUGCCCAAGGCUUAUAUUUAGUACAAAUUCCUUAUUCCAAACAAAUGUAGGACAAUACAUAUACACAAUUGACUUUCGAUAACAGGUCCUGAGCAACUUGUUUUGAGCUUGUCUUAUAAUUAUUUAAUUUGUUAGGAGGCUCAUUUCUAGGCUUGCAUCAGGCUUAUUAAACUGAUACAAAAACUAAAUUUUUAAAAAAGCAAAAUGCAUCUUUUGGCCCCUGAUUUUUUUUUUGGUUUUUAUCAAGCCCUUGUAGUUUUAUUUUUUGAAAUUGCCUCUGAACUUAUAUAUAUAUUAACAUUUAAUCCUUAUUUAACAGAAAUAACACAUAUAAGCAUUUGGGUUUGUUUAGUAAAUGAGUGAAACUAAGCUUUGCUGGUUUACGCUUGUUUAUUAAGUAGUUAAGCUUAACCCUGAUUUUUAGAUGAGUUAG
rnacentral:misc_RNA from 1 species